CCUACGGGAGGCAGCAGUGGGGAAUUUUGGACAAUGGGCGCAAGCCUGAUCCAGCCAUGCCGCGUGCAGGAUGAAGGCCUUCGGGUUGUAAACUGCUUUUGUACGGAACGAAAAGACUCUGGUUAAUACCUGGGGUCCAUGACGGUACCGUAAGAAUAAGCACCGGCUAACUACGUGCCAGCAGCCGCGGUAAUACGUAGGGUGCGAGCGUUAAUCGGAAUUACUGGGCGUAAAGCGUGCGCAGGCGGUUAUGUAAGACAGAUGUGAAAUCCCCGGGCUCAACCUGGGAACUGCAUUUGUGACUGCAUAGCUAGAGUACGGCAGAGGGGGAUGGAAUUCCGCGUGUAGCAGUGAAAUGCGUAGAUAUGCGGAGGAACACCGAUGGCGAAGGCAAUCCCCUGGGCCUGUACUGACGCUCAUGCACGAAAGCGUGGGGAGCAAACAGGAUUAGAUACCCUGGUAGUCCACGCCCUAAACGAUGUCAACUGGUUGUUGGGUCUUCACUGACUCAGUAACGAAGCUAACGCGUGAAGUUGACCGCCUGGGGAGUACGGCCGCAAGGUUGAAACGUCAAAGGAAUUGACGG
rnacentral:rRNA from 1 species